UAGGGAAUCUUCGGCAAUGGGGGGAACCCUGACCGAGCAACGCCGCGUGAGUGAAGAAGGUUUUCGGAUCGUAAAGCUCUGUUGUUAAGGAAGAACGAGUGUGAGAAUGGAAAGUUUAUACUUUGACGGUACUUAACCAGAAAGGGACGGCUAACUACGUGCCAGCAUCCGCGGGAAUACGUAGGUGGCAAGCGGUGUCCGGAUUUAUUGGGCGUAAAGCGAGCGCAGGCGGGCAAUUAAGUCUGAUGUGAAAGCCCCCGUCUCAACCGGGGGGGGUGCUUUGGAACUUGUUGAGUUAGGAGCAGAAGAGGAGAGUGGAAUUGCAUGUGUGGCGGUGAAAUGCAUAGAUGUAUGGAGGAAAAACCGUGGCGAAGGCGACUCUCUGGUCUGUAACUGACGCGGAGGCUCGAAAGCGUGGGUAGCAAACAGG
rnacentral:rRNA from 1 species